rnacentral:RNase_P_RNA from 1 species
GCGGAGGGCUGGAUGACCGCGAGGGGUAACCUUCGAGGAAAGUCCGGACUCCCUGAAGCAACGGUGCCGGGUAACGCCNNNNNNNNNNNNNNAAGCGCCACAGAAAUCAGACUACCCGCCCCCGGGCGGGAAAAGGUGAAAAGGUGGGGUAAGAGCCCACCGCGGACCGGGCAACCGGGACGGCAUGGCAAGCCCCACCGGGAGCAACGCCGAAUAGGGGCCUCGCGCGGGUUGAUCGGGACACCGAUAUCACCGCAGGGACGCUUCGACCCGAGAGGCCCGGGUUGGCGGCUGGAGCGCGGGAGUAACCCUGCGCCGAGAGGAAUGGUCAUCCACGGGGCGAAAGCCCCGGGACAGAAUCCGGCUUACAGGCCCUCCGCGCAA